UCGACCCACAGGUACUUUGGUUACCAUCAUCGACAACUGUUUUUCCCAGAUCUAAUGUUCGUCUAUGAUCUGCAGCCACUGCAUUGGACGGAGAUGGCAUGAUAGCAGCUUUUCUGCUGGAGAUGGGUUCUGCAUUUUGGUGGGCGUUACUGUGGUUAGAGAUUGCAGCCUCAUCAAAGAUGGGAUUUUGCUGUCCUGUAGCGAAGGAUCCAUUGUUUUCUUUUUCUCUCAAAUUUGGGUUUAUGUGAAGGCUGUUGCUGGUUCCUCUCUUUUUUGUUCUCAAUAAUUUCUUUCCCCUUUGAUCUUCAUUCACGGCAUCCCCAACUCUGACCUCCAGGCCCUGGCUUUCAAGCUCGCCAGCGCGAACUCGUGGGUGAAGAGGAGCGUGAAGAUCUACUCGCCCGGCGUCAGGUUUCACUACAUCGCCGUCGGCAACAAAGUGAGCCCCGUCAACGGAGGCACUGCGCAGUAUGACGGGUUUGUCCUCCCUGCGAUGAGGAACAUACAGGCCUUGCUCAGAUCGUCCGGCUUGAAGAACCAGAUCAAGAUCUCGACUGCCAUCGACAUGACCCUGAUCGGGAACUCCUACCCUCCAUCCCAAGGUGCAUUUCGAGGAGAGUAGUCUUAAUUCAGGGGUGCUGUUAGUUGGAUCACAGUUCAUAUCCAUCGAUCCUCUAUUAGCAAUGGCCGUUGCAGCUGCUGGUGAAGGAAGAUCCAAGCCUUGUCUAACAAAAAUGGUUCGGUCUGUGCUGCUUGUUGUGUGCAGGGGACUCCAUUCACAGGGAUGGGUCAUUCCAUAGUUGUGUUGUCCACGGGCAUAGGAGGAGAGUGUGUUCGAUGGUCUCCGGUUUCAGGUUACAUAUUGGACACACAGGUGCAGGAAAAAGUGACAGGAUGAGUGGACUAUGAUUUGAUUCGAUGGCUGGUAGGGCGACUACUUCUGCAGCUGGAUAUGUUAUUCUCCACUCCAUGGCUGGUCUUCUGCGUUUUGUACUUGCUGAUCAGCAUUGGUUGUUUCGGCAAGAGGUGUUUCUGGUACAAUAUUCGGAUCAUCAAUGAGUGUAGCUUGUUUCCCAUAAAAAAACUUUACCAUAAGGGCUAAGUUCCCUAACUUCCGCCCUUAGCCAAUUCCCAAAGUUACCUGGUGUUAUUUCCUUUGGAUUCGAGUUUAACAUCAAUAACUUCACCAAUCUUGGCUGCUAUGUCUUUGACAAUAUCUGUUGUCACUCUUCCAAAUGGUAGGCCACAAAGGUGCACCCAAAAAGGGCAGUGAGUGAACUCAUAACACAUUUCAGGAACAUCUGGGUCGCAUUGUUUAAGGACGAGGAGAUUACCGGAGAAAGACCAUGGGCCAAAGUUUAAAACUUUCUGCUUGUCGGCUUCAGAGUUAAAGGAAAAGGAAAAGAACCCCGGUUCAAGUACGGUGCAAGAUACAUGUUCUGUCUUCCAUGCUAGUUUCAUAGUAUUAAGAAAAGCCUGAAAGUUCACUUUGGGGCGAGAGUACAGUUUUCCGAACAAGAUUAAACGGCAUUCUGCCAAUUUUUCUUCAGAUAUUCCUUCCUUAAUAUCGAUCACAUCUUCCGCAGACCAAAGAUUCCCCAGGCUGCUACACAUUGCCUCUAAUCUAUUCUCCUCAGAUGACUGAUCAGCCAUACUUCUCUUGUUAGAACUAAGCACAAGAAGGAAGGGGGUUACCUCAGCAUAGAAGACACGGCACCUGUCCUCGUUUAGUGAUAUAAACCUGGGAUGAAGAUGAUGACGCAGCACAGAACAGGCUGGCUCACUUUCCCCUCAACUGUGUGCAAGGGUAGGCGACAAAACGGUCCAAGAUAAAAGGGCUUGUGGGCCUUUUCAAAAAGAGAGCAGGGGCGGAAGGAGGUGAGCAGCCAGAAGGUAUGUCAGGGGUCAGGGAUCGCGAGGGUUGGGGAUAAAAGAAAAUACAGGAUCGCGAAGGGAAGUGAGGGUAUAGGGUCGCAGAAGGGGAAGUAACUAAUAUUUACCGAAAUUAGGGUUUGGAAAUACUAGUGAAGUGGAAAUUAACGACAAGAUGGAAAAGACGCUGUUAAAGGGAGUAAGGGUUUGGGCGAAACCACCCAUAAGAUUGGGGAAGGAGAUCGCAAGAUGGCUCGCACAACCCAUGGAAGGUUAACGAGGAGGAUUAGGAGGAAUUUGGGAAAUUGUGAAGGCAGAAGCGAUUUACAUCAGCUUUAGUGUUGACAAACCGAGGGAACUACCAUGCAGUAGGGAGAAACCCAGAAUCGCCUGGGAGAGCUCUCACGCCGCGCAUUAAGGAAGUGGCUACCUUCAAAAUUGUUCAACCACUGCAGCAAGAAAUUUAGGUGGGGCUAAAGCAAUGACAUGGCAAGGACAAUCUCUGACACAUUGGGAAAUUGGUGAGUGCUGGUGCUUCGUUCGUCGUCAGGGCUGGGUCUUUGGAAUAAGUGAGCUUGAUGGCAAAAGGUGCACUUUUCCCCCUAACUCACAAUGGGAGAACGUGUGUCUCUAUAUUAUGUGCUUCGAGAAAAAAAUUAGCCAACCCUCAUUUUUUGUCUAUUCUUUGUCCGCUUAUAUAGACGUAACAAUUUUAGCACUGAAGGAAAGGGGCGAUAUUUUAUUUCCUCUUGAGAACGUCUCAGUAUAUUUGGCUUGAUUUCGUCCA